CCUACGGGGGGCUGCAGUGGGGGAUAUUGCACAAUGGGCGCAAGCCUGAUGCAGCCAUGCCGCGUGUGUGAAGAAGGCCUUCGGGUUGUAAAGCACUUUCAGCGGGGAGGAAGGCGGUGAGGUUAAUAACCUCAUCGAUCGACGUUACCCGCAGAAGAAGCACCGGCUAACUCCGUGCCUGCAGCCGCGGUAAUACGGAGGGUGCAAGCGUUAAUCGGAAUUACUGGGCGUAAAGCGCACGCAGGCGGUCUGUCAAGUCGGAUGUGAAGUCCCCGGGCUCAACCUGGGAACUGCAUUCGAAACUGGCAGGCUAGAGUCUUGUAGAGGGGGGUAGAAUUCCAGGUGUAGCGGUGAAAUGCGUAGAGAUCUGGAGGAAUACCGGUGGCGAAGGCGGCCCCCUGGACAAAGACUGACGCUCAGGUGCGAAAGCGUGGGGAGCAAACAGGAUUAGAUACCCGAGUAGUC
rnacentral:rRNA from 1 species